GACGAACGCUGGCGGCGUGCUUAACACAUGCAAGUCGAACGAAAAGAGGGAAAGAGCUUGCUCUUUCCGGUAUUGAGUGGCAAACGGGUGAGUAACACGUAAACAACCUGCCUUCAGGAUGGGGACAACAGACGGAAACGACUGCUAAUACCGAAUAAGUUCCACGAGCCGCAUGGCCCAUGGAGGAAAAGGUGGCGUCUACCUGUGAGCUAUCGCCUCCAGAGGGGUUUGCGUCUGAUUAGCCGGGUGGAGGGGUAACGGCCCACCAAGGGGACGGACAGUAGCCCGACUGGAGGGGUGGACGGCCAACCUGGGACUGAGGCCAGGGCCAGAAUCCUACGGGGGGGAGCAGGGGGGGAACUUCCGCAAAGGGGGAAAGGCUGACCGGGGAACGCCGGGUGGGUGAUGGCGGCUCUCGGGUUGGAAAACUCUGUGAACCGGGGCGAAAAGGCAGAGUGCGAAGAACAGACUGCAUUGACGGUACCGGAAAAGCAAGCCACGGCUAACUACGUG
rnacentral:rRNA from 1 species